CUUUGACCAGAGAGUAGGCCCUCUGUAGGGGAGUUCACAGUAGCAGAGUCAGCAAAAACUUCAAGAGAAACAUACAAGAAAACAACUCUUGUUUCUUCUACUCUUCUCACAGCUUUACUUCUGACACCAGACGUGUGUGGGGUUUUUUUCCACACCAACCAUUUCUCUUAACUGUCCAGACACCAACUGGGUGUCCUGCAGUUCGGUUCGGACACUAACUACCUGGAGUUAAUGCAGACCUCAAAGAUUCAGGGCUUAUUCCCACAAGGUUGUCCGUUUCAGAUGCCAGUCACACGUCUCAGGAUACCAUCUUUACUUCUGAAUAACUAGCUACCAAUCAGGGGUUCCCAUAACCCACCUCUUCCUCAGGUUUGAUAAUUUGCUAUAUCAGAAAUUCAAGAAAACAGAACUCAAGGAAACACUUACUUACCUUUACUGGUUUAUUAUAAAGUAACAGCCAGAUGAAGAGGUACAUAAAUGGAAGUCUGGAAAGAAGGGAGCUGAAUGGAGCAAUUUCUGUCCCUGUGAAGUUGGGGAGCACCACUCUACCAGCACAUGGAUGUGUUCAACUGGAAUUUCUCUGAUCCUCUUUGGGUGGCCCUCAAUUCUGGAGCAGUGGUGGCAGCAGUGUGGGCAGCUGACAUUUACAGAGAAACACUGUCAUUCUGGUUAACGGACUGGGAAACGAAGCCUUGGUGAGCCGAAGAGGACAGGGAGAGUCCCAGAGAGGGGCCAGCUAGAGAAGGGGGCUCCCCUAAUUCUGUGUGUGAACUGGCACAACUUUUGCAUCAUCAGAAGAAAUCCUAAACAGCCGAGCAAAGCGUCUGAAAAACUGAAAUGACACUGGAACGACAGCCCACAGAAACAGAGACAGAACUUGCAGUUUGAACUUAACUGGAUUGAUUGCCUGCUAAAACAAAACAAAAUCAACGUUUUCUAGAGCAGGGGUCAGCACACUGUUUCCAUAAAG
ensembl:lncRNA